GAUGAACGCUGGCGGCGUGCCUAAUACAUGCAAGUCGAGCGAACGGACGAGAAGCUUGCUUCUCUGAUGUUAGCGGCGGACGGGUGAGUAACACGUGGAUAACCUACCUAUAAGACUGGGAUAACUUCGGGAAACCGGAGCUAAUACCGGAUAAUAUUAUGAACCGCAUGGUUAAAAAGUGAAAGACGGUCUUGCUGUCACUUAUAGAUGGAUCCGCGCUGCAUUAGCUAGUUGGUAAGGUAACGGCUUACCAAGGCAACGAUGCAUAGCCGACCUGAGAGGGUGAUCGGCCACACUGGAACUGAGACACGGUCCAGACUCCUACGGGAGGCAGCAGUAGGGAAUCUUCCGCAAUGGGCGAAAGCCUGACGGAGCAACGCCGCGUGAGUGAUGAAGGUCUUCGGAUCGUAAAACUCUGUUAUUAGGGAAGAACAUAUGUGUAAGUAACUGUGCACAUCUUGACGGUACCUAAUCAGAAAGCCACGGCUAACUACGUG
rnacentral:rRNA from 1 species